GGAGGGUUGACCAGGCAUAAAAAUGUACAAAACCGCUGUUUUUUGGACAUAUCAGACCCAUAUAAACAAUAAAAAACGGGUGUCGUCGAACUCGAAAACCGCUGUACGGGCUUCCCGUACCGUGGGUUCGAAUCCCACCCUCUCCGCCA
rnacentral:tRNA from 1 species